rnacentral:tRNA from 1 species
UAGCCUAGUGGUUAAGGCUAUGGAUCGCCAAUCCGGAGACGGCGGAUUCGAUUCCCGC